AGUAGCGGCGAGCGAACGGGGAGGAGCCCAGAGCCUGAAUCAGUGUGUGUGUUAGUGGAAGCGUCUGGAAAGGCGCGCGAUACAGGGUGACAGCCCCGUACACAAAAAUGCACAUACUGUGAGCUCGAUGAGUAGGGCGGGACACGUGGUAUCCUGUCUGAAUAUGGGGGGACCAUCCUCCAAGGCUAAAUACUCCUGACUGACCGAUAGUGAACCAGUACCGUGAGGGAAAGGCGAAAAGAACCCCGGCGAGGGGAGUGAAAAAGAACCUGAAACCGUGUACGUACAAGCAGUGGGAGCCUCUUAAUGGGGUGACUGCGUACCUUUUGUAUAAUGGGUCAGCGACUUAUAUUCUGUAGCAAGGUUAACCGAAUAGGGGAGCCGAAGGGAAACCGAGUCUUAACUGGGCGUUAAGUUGCAGGGUAUAGACCCGAAACCCGGUGAUCUAGCCAUGGGCAGGUUGAAGGUUGGGUAACACUAACUGGAGGACCGAACCGACUAAUGUUGAAAAAUUAGCGGAUGACUUGUGGCUGGGGGUGAAAGGCCAAUCAAACCGGGAGAUAGCUGGUUCUCCCCGAAAGCUAUUUAGGUAGCGCCUCGUGAAUUCAUCUCCGGGGGUAGAGCACUGUUUCGGCAAGGGGGUCAUCCCGACUUACCAACCCGAUGCAAACUGCGAAUACCGGAGAAUGUUAUCACGGGAGACACACGGCGGGUGCUAACGUCCGUCGUGAAGAGGGAAACAACCCAGACCGCCAGCUAAGGUCCCAAAGUCAUGGUUAAGUGGGAAACGAUGUGGGAAGGCCCAGACAGCCAGGAUGUUGGCUUAGAAGCAGCCAUCAUUUAAAGAAAGCGUAAUAGCUCACUGGUCGAGUCGGCCUGCGCGGAAGAUGUAACGGGGCUAAACCAUGCACCGAAGCUGCGGCAGCGACGCUGAUGCGUUGUUGGGUAGGGGAGCGUUCUGUAAGCCUGUGAAGGUGGCCUGUGAGGGUUGCUGGAGGUAUCAGAAGUGCGAAUGCUGACAUAAGUAACGAUAAAGCGGGUGAAAAGCCCGCUCGCCGGAAGACCAAGGGUUCCUGUCCAACGUUAAUCGGGGCAGGGUGAGUCGACCCCUAAGGCGAGGCCGAAAGGCGUAGUCGAUGGGAAACAGGUUAAUAUUCCUGUACUUGGUGUUACUGCGAAGGGGGGACGGAGAAGGCUAUGUUGGCCGGGCGACGGUUGUCCCGGUUUAAGCGUGUAGGCUGGUUUUCCAGGCAAAUCCGGAAAAUCAAGGCUGAGGCGUGAUGACGAGGCACUACGGUGCUGAAGCGACAAAUGCCCUGCUUCCAGGAAAAGCCUCUAAGCAUCAGGUAACAUCAAAUCGUACCCCAAACCGACACAGGUGGUCAGGUAGAGAAUACCAAGGCGCUUGAGAGAACUCGGGUGAAGGAACUAGGCAAAAUGGUGCCGUAACUUCGGGAGAAGGCACGCUGAUAUGUAGGUGAAGCGACUUGCUCGUGGAGCUGAAAUCAGUCGAAGAUACCAGCUGGCUGCAACUGUUUAUUAAAAACACAGCACUGUGCAAACACGAAAGUGGACGUAUACGGUGUGACGCCUGCCCGGUGCCGGAAGGUUAAUUGAUGGGGUUAGCGGUAACGCGAAGCUCUUGAUCGAAGCCCCGGUAAACGGCGGCCGUAACUAUAACGGUCCUAAGGUAGCGAAAUUCCUUGUCGGGUAAGUUCCGACCUGCACGAAUGGCGUAAUGAUGGCCAGGCUGUCUCCACCCGAGACUCAGUGAAAUUGAACUCGCUGUGAAGAUGCAGUGUACCCGCGGCAAGACGGAAAGACCCCGUGAACCUUUACUAUAGCUUGACACUGAACAUUGAGCCUUGAUGUGUAGGAUAGGUGGGAGGCUUUGAAGUGUGGACGCCAGUCUGCAUGGAGCCGACCUUGAAAUACCACCCUUUAAUGUUUGAUGUUCUAACGUGGGCCCCUUACCGGGGUUGCGGACAGUGUCUGGUGGGUAGUUUGACUGGGGCGGUCUCCUCCUAAAGAGUAACGGAGGAGCACGAAGGUUGGCUAAUCCUGGUCGGACAUCAGGAGGUUAGUGCAAUGGCAUAAGCCAGCUUGACUGCGAGCGUGACGGCGCGAGCAGGUGCGAAAGCAGGUCAUAGUGAUCCGGUGGUUCUGAAUGGAAGGGCCAUCGCUCAACGGAUAAAAGGUACUCCGGGGAUAACAGGCUGAUACCGCCCAAGAGUUCAUAUCGACGGCGGUGUUUGGCACCUCGAUGUCGGCUCAUCACAUCCUGGGGCUGAAGUAGGUCCCAAGGGUAUGGCUGUUCGCCAUUUAAAGUGGUACGCGAGCUGGGUUUAGAACGUCGUGAGACAGUUCGGUCCCUAUCUGCCGUGGGCGCUGGAGAACUGAGGGGGGCUGCUCCUAGUACGAGAGGACCGGAGUGGACGCAUCACUGGUGUUCGGGUUGUCAUGCCAAUGGCACUGCCCGGUAGCUAAAUGCGGAAGAGAUAAGUGCUGAAAGCAUCUAAGCACGAAACUUGCCCCGAGAUGAGUUCUCCCUGAGACUUAGAGUCUCCUGAAGGAACGUUGAAGACGACGACGUUGAUAGGCCGGGUGUGUAAGCGCAGCGAUGCGUUGAGCUAACCGGUACUAAUGAACCGUGAGGCUUAACCUU
rnacentral:rRNA from 1 species